CGGUGAGUGGAUCAAAGCUCAGGCGGCAUAGGAUGGGCCUGCGGCGUAUCAGGUUGUAGGGGGUGUAAAGUACCCUCUAGCCAUCUACGCGUACGGGUGUUGGGAGACAUAGCCCGGAGAUGGAUUCUGAGACACGAAUCCAGACCCUACGGGGUGCAGCAGGCGCGAAAACUUGACAAUGCGAGCAAUCGUGAUCAGGGAACUCCAAGUGGCUGGGGUAAGACCCAGUCUUUUCAUAACUCUUCAAAGGUUGUAGAAUAAGGGGUGGGUAAGGACGGUGCCAGCCGCCGCGGUAAUACCGGCGCCUCAAGUGGUAGUCGCUUUUAUUGGGCCUAAAACGUCCGUAGCCGGUUUGGUACAUUCGUGGGUAAAUCAACUCGCUCAACGAGUUGAAUUCUGCGAGGACGGCCAAACUUGGGACCGGGAGAGGUGUGGGGUACUCUCAGGGUAGGGGUAAAAUCCUGUCAUCCUGAGAGGACCACCUGUUGCGAAGGCGCCACACUAGAACGGAUCCGACGGUCAGGGACGAAGCCUAGGGGCACGAACCGGAUUAGAUACCCGGGUAGUCCUAGGUGUAAACGCUGUGGACUUGAUGUUGGAGAAGCUCCGAGCUUCUUCAGUGUCGAAGCGAAGGUGAUAAGUCCACUGCCUGGGAAGUACGGUCGCAAGGCUGAAACUUAAAGGAAUUGGCGGGGGAGCACCGCAACCUGAGGAUUGUGCGGUUUAAUUGGACUCAACGCCA
rnacentral:rRNA from 1 species